rnacentral:rRNA from 1 species
CCUACGGGUGGCAGCAGUGAGGAAUAUUGGUCAAUGGGCGCGAGCCUGACCCAGCCAAGUAGCGUGAAGGAUGACUGCCCUACGGGUUGUAAACUUCUUUUAUAAAGGAAUAAAGUGAGGCACGUGUGCCUUUUUGUAUGUACUUUAUGAAUAAGGAUCGGCUAACUCCGUGCCAGCAGCCUCGGUAAUACGGAGGAUCCGAGCGUUAUCCGGAGUUAUUGGGUUUAACGGGAGCGUAGAUGGGUUGUUAAGUCAGUGGUGAAAGUUUGCGGUCCAACCGUAAAAUUUCAAUUGAUACUGGCAGCCUUGAGUACAGUGGAGGUAGGCGGAAUUCGUGGUGUAGCGGUGAAAUGCUUAGAUAUCACGAAGAACUCCGAUUGCGAAGGCAGCUUACUAAACUGCCACUGACAUUGAUGCUCGAAAGUGUGGGUAGCAAACAGGAUUAGAUACCCGGGUAGUC